rnacentral:rRNA from 1 species
GAUGAACGCUGGCGGCGUGCCUAAUACAUGCAAGUCGAGCGAACAGACGAGGAGCUUGCUCCUCUGACGUUAGCGGCGGACGGGUGAGUAACACGUGGAUAACCUACCUAUAAGACUGGGAUAACUUCGGGAAACCGGAGCUCAUACCGGAUACUAUAUUGAACCGCAUGGUUCAAUAGUGAAAGACGGUUUUGCUGUCACUUAUAGAUUGAUCCGCGCCGCAUUAGCUAGUUGGUCAGGUAACGGCUUACCAAGGCGACGAUGCGUAGCCGACCUGAGAGGGUGAUCGGCCACACUGGAACUGAGACACGGUCCAGACUCCUACGGGAGGCAGCAGUAGGGAAUCUUCCGCAAUGGGCGAAAGCCUGACGGAGCGAUGCCGCGUGAGUGAUGAAGGUCUUCGGAUCGUAAAACUCUGUUAUUAGGGAAGAACAAAUGUGUAAGUAACUAUGCACGUCUUGACGGUACCUAAUCAGAAAGCCACGGCUAACUACGUG